rnacentral:lncRNA from 1 species
UUUCCAUCCCCACCGACUCUCAUAUCUUUCCUAUUCAGUUCUUCAAUUCUUUGAUUUUGCGUCAUAAAUCGAACCCAUAGGGCUUCUGGAUUUUAUUGGGUCACCAUCACCCAUCCGCCCUCGAUGUCACAUGUUCCUUCCCCUCUGUCGAGUUCGUGCCAUCUGAGUCGUCGUCAGUGGCUGCUGCUUUUAUCCCUAAUUUUGGAAAUUGAAAUUAAAUAUUCAAGAUGCGUCGUACUCCAACAGGAAAGGUCCGUCUAAUUCAACUCAAAUUUGUCACUCGAUAUUCCUUCAGUCCUCUAUAUGUAAAUCAGGAUUCGUAUUUUCAUAUUUCGCUGCUAUAGCUUGCAUCUUCUUUACUGAUUCCGAUUGUCAUCUCCACCAUUGCUCCUACGCCUUUGUUCAUCCAAAAAAACACAACAACGAUUAUCUGGUGUACAUCAUAAGAGGUUUGGGUUUAUUGCUAGCCUUUGUUCUUUUUUUUGUUCGUUUCCAAGUUUUUGGUUCUUCGUUUUGUUGUCUCUCCGUUAAAUUGAACAUGAUUUUUGGACGUUUCUCUUCAAUCGAUGGAAACCCGGUCGCAUGCCACACACCUUCUCGCCACUUUGUUAACGAUCAUCGCCUCUUACAAGCAUGCCUCCAGUUCAGAUUGUAAAUCAUGUAUGUCUAUCUCUACUUUCUUUCUUCGAUUCAUAUUUUAGUUGCUUGAUUUUAAAUCGUCUUUAUUGUAAGCUGAAAUGAGUUUGAAUUGGUAGGAUUAUUAUUAUAAAAUUUUGAAGAAAGUGAAGAUGCAUACCACAUGUUUGAUAAAAUGUCUAUUUGAAAUCUGGGAACAGAUUUAUUUAGAUACAAAACCAGUUUUACAUAAUAACUAGACCAACAAUAAUUGUAUAUUCUUUUGGAAAUUUGGUAUGAUUCAUUCAUUUAAUGCUUUAAUGCUUUGCUAAACUUAAUAAGAUGUUAGUUGCUGCCAUAUUUUACGAUGGCAAAAGUCCAUUGUGUCUUAUCUUUUGAUGGUCAUUAGAGGAAAUUUCUUAAACUUGAGUUGAUUUUUAAAAUUUUAAGAAAAUAUAUUAUAUUUGAUUUUCUCUAUUCUUUUAUGAUAUUAAAAGUUACUUGUAAGUUUGUAACAGAUGUUUGCUAUUAUUAAUAUUCAUGUUAUCAUCCUGGAUGACUCAAUUGGAAUGCAUUUCAUUAUCCAAUUGUGUCAUUUUGCAUCGAUCCGCAUGACGUAAAAUUCAAACAAGAGUAUUUUCAAAUUUAUUUGUUAAAUAAUAUCUCGAUUAUAACACUCUAAAAAAUAGUUCACAAUUAAUUAUAUUUUAUAAAACUGAUUCACAAUGAUCGGAAAAAACUUUUGAAAUCAACUUAAGGAAAAAAAUAAUAUUUUUAGAUUAUUGAGAUCAUAUAUUACUAGAUUUCUUUACCUGAUGUUACAUUCCGCACUUACUAUUUUUAUGGUUAAAAGUAUUAUGAUUGAAUCUUGAGUUGUAACACUUUUAUUCAGUAAUUAGUCGAGGAUUUCGUAGUGAGUUUUCUUUGUAAGUACAUGGUUGAGGAUAAUUAUUAAUUGAUCAAAAUAAGAAAGCAUUACGAUAGCUAAAUUUGAUCUAAUACUGAUUAGUUAUAUAAACGUACAAUUUAUCAUUAGGGACACUUCAUAGUUAUAACAAAUCAAACUAAAGUAAAAGAAAAAAUGUAAGGGAAAAUGGAUGUUAUUGUUAUUGUUGUUUAAAGAAAACAAAUCCAACUUUGUGAUAAGACAUUGUCAUUGUAUUCAUCUGUGAUGUGCUUCUAUUAAGCAUUAAGCACGUACUAAGCAUAAUUGAUACAUUGAACUUAGCUUUUACAACAUCAUCAUUGUUUGAAAAAGAUCUCUCAUUUACCUAUGUAAAAUAGCAUAAUUGUGGAAUUUGCAACACUUAUACGAGAUUGAGCAUACAAUUUUAACCUUAAUUUUUUUAUCAUUCAUAUUUUUACUUAAAUUUAUUAACUCAAAUAGGUUACUUUUAUUGAGCUGCUCCUAAGCAUACAACUUGAGUUUGGUUUCUUCAGAGAUGCAAAAAAAAAAAUGUAUGAUUGGUCACGACUUAUGUCUCUUGAAUUGAUUUCAAUCCCCUUUGUAUGUUUUUUAUGUGUCUCCCAUUAAAUGAUAUAAUGUAUAAUUCGUUGUAUGUUGUAGGAAUGAUAUGUUAGAAUUACUAUUGAGUACAAGAGCUACUCGAGUAGAGAUUAAUCUGUCCACUACUGUAAUAAAGAUAACCAACAAGAUAACACUAUAAAGGAGGAAUAUAAAGCGAUUGAAGGUGCUAGAAAAAGCAUGCAGCUGGGUAAAAUGUUUACAUUUAGUUAAUUUGUUUGUGUCAGAUUGUAUCUUACUUAAUUAUCAAUCUAAUUUCUCUAAAUACUUUUCCUUUUGAAUUGUCAUAAUUAUCAAAUCUAAGAGGAAUGGGUGAGGAUUCCAAAAGCUACCACAUAUCUGUAUAUUGUAUACAUAAUAUACGCAGAUUACCAUGUGGCAUGCAAACAAAACAAAAAACCUACUUUUUUAGUCACAAUAAAACACAUGGACUUAUAAACUAUUACAAAUAAAUUUGAAUUUAUUAUAAAAGGUUGCUCCAAACCUGGAGCCAAAACAGUGCACAGGACUGCAACCGUUUCAGUUAAAAAGCGUGGUCAUAUAUGAAAAGGAAAUACAAAGGGAGGUGGAAGAAAGAAAGAGGUUGAAAGAGGAAGCGGUUAACAUGAUAUUGUCUAAGGCUCAUCCAAUAUUAAAAAAGCAAGAAAAAACACUUUUCGUCACUUUCCAAAUGAAAUACAUGUAUUACUUUUUUUUU